rnacentral:rRNA from 1 species
UUUGAUGGCGACCGGCGCACGGGUGAGUAACACGUAUCCAACCUGCCGAUGACUCGGGGAUAGCCUUUCGAAAGAAAGAUUAAUACCCGAUGGCAUAGUUCUUCCGCAUGGUAGAACUAUUAAAGAAUUUCGGUCAUCGAUGGGGAUGCGUUCCAUUAGGUUGUUGGCGGGGUAACGGCCCACCAAGCCUUCGAUGGAUAGGGGUUCUGAGAGGAAGAUCCCCCACAUUGGAACUGAGACACGGUCCAAACUCCUACGGGAGGCAGCAUG